CGGACGGGUGAGUAACGCGAGAGAAUUUACCUUUAGGAGGGGGAUAACAAUUGGAAACGAUUGCUAAUACCCCAUAUGCUUUUAAGUGAAAUGGAUUUUUCCGCCUAAAGAAAAGCUCGCGGCUGAUUAGCUAGUUGGUAAGGUAAUGGCUUACCAAGGCGACGAUCAGUAUCUGGUUUGAGAGGACGAUCAGACACACUGGAACUGAGACACGGUCCAGACUCCUACGGGAGGCAGCAGUGGGGAAUUUUCCGCAAUGGGCGAAAGCCUGACGGAGCAAUACCGCGUGAGGGAAGAAAGCCUACUGGGUUGUAAACCUCUUUUUUCAGGGAGGAAAAAAAUGACGUGUACCUGAAGAAUAAGCAUCGGCUAACUCCGUGCCAGCAGCCGCGGUAAGACGGAGGAUGCAAGUGUUAUCCGGAAUUACUGGGCGUAAAGCGUCUGUAGGUUGUUUAAUAAGUCAACUGUUAAAUCUUGAGGCUUAACUUCAAAACAGCAGUCGAAACUAUUAGACUAGAGUAUAGUAGGGGUAAAGGGAAUUUCAGUGGAGCGGUGAAAUGCGUAGAUAUUGGAAAGAACACCGAUGGCGAAGCACUUACUGGCUAUUACUGACACUCAGAGAACGAAGCUAGGGUAGCAAAUGGAUUAAGAUACCCCAGUAGUC
rnacentral:rRNA from 1 species